rnacentral:rRNA from 1 species
GCAGUCGAACGGCAGCACGGGGGCAACCCUGGUGGCGAGUGGCGAACGGGUGAGUAAUACAUCGGAACGUGUCCUGUAGUGGGGGAUAGCCCGGCGAAAGCCGGAUUAAUACCGCAUACGCUCUACGGAGGAAAGGGGGGGAUCUUAGGACCUCCCGCUACAGGGGCGGCCGAUGGCAGAUUAGCUAGUUGGUGGGGUAAAGGCCUACCAAGGCGACGAUCUGUAGCUGGUCUGAGAGGACGACCAGCCACACUGGGACUGAGACACGGCCCAGACUCCUACGGGAGGCAGCAGUGGGGAAUUUUGGACAAUGGGGGCAACCCUGAUCCAGCAAUGCCGCGUGUGUGAAGAAGGCCUUCGGGUUGUAAAGCACUUUUGUCCGGAAAGAAAACGCCGUGGUUAAUACCCGUGGCGGAUGACGGUACCGGAAGAAUAAGCACCGGCUAACUACGUGCCAGCAGCCGCGGUAAUACGUAGGGUGCAAGCGUUAAUCGGAAUUACUGGGCGUAAAGCGUGCGCAGGCGGUCCGCUAAGACAGAUGUGAAAUCCCCGGGCUUAACCUGGGAACUGCAUUUGUGACUGGCGGGCUAGAGUAUGGCAGAGGGGGGUAGAAUUCCACGUGUAGCAGUGAAAUGCGUAGAGAUGUGGAGGAAUACCGAUGGCGAAGGCAGCCCCCUGGGCCAAUACUGACGCUCA